AUGCCGAGUGUGGAGCGGUGUGCUUACCCUCUGCGGAGGUUCCGCACUCUUGAGGGAGUCUUGGGCGAAAGCUUUGCCUGGUCUUCCAGGUUCGGUGACAUCGACGCCAGCGGGUGCCGUUUCCUCCUUGGAGGUGUUGCCUUAUGGAUCUCUCCCCUUCGGGUGAAAACCCAGUCCAGUUUUUGGGCGGGCAUCGGCAGCGGCUCCUAUCGUUGUUUACCUCCUUGGAGGUUUCGCCUUGAAGGUCUUGCUCUUCCCUCGAUCACUUAUGUGGACAGCUGCGGCAGCAACCUUAGCUUCUACCCAGGCCAUAGGGGAGGAUUAGGCAAGGGUGUAAUGACUGGCCUCAGUGUGGGAAGCAGGCACCGACAAGGGUGUCAAGGAAGUGCAACCUUUCUUUCAAGAAGGAGAUUUCAUCGAUGGAGGAUCGAGGUAUAGAUGGCCGAAA
rnacentral:lncRNA from 1 species